CCAGGACUCAGUGUUGGGACCACUUCUGUUUAACAUCUUUAUUGAUGACCUAGAUGAAGCCACAGUGUGUCAGCAGAGUUUUAACUCACGGUGUCUUGAAGAAGGCUAGAGGAAACUAGGAGGUGGUCACACCAGUGGAGAAUCAAAAACCAGUUUUCUCUGCCAGCAAAAAAAGGAUGUUCUGAAGGAAAAAGUUCCACUAGCAGAGACAGUUCCUGUGAUUACUGUUUGCUUCUUUAUGCCUUACUAUUUAUUGAUGUAAAACAAACCAAGUUUGCUCAGCUCUUUUACCAAAACCCAGUAUCUUUUGGUAGAUAAUUCAUGUAACAUAUUCUGUACUGUAAAAGAUGGCUUUUCAUAUUUAUUACAGACAGGUAGUACUGGAGAUGUUGAUGCAAAAAAAAGAAAAAAGAUCCAGAUUUUGUUUUUUAAAGAUGCCUAAUGUGAAAUGUUAUAUUUGUACUUCUGAUGUUAUAAAGCUAUUGGUUGGUAGAGGCAAAGAGGUCCUGACUGUAACCCACCUUCCAGUUUCUCUGCUACUGAAAGAAUGUAGGUUGACAAAGAAAGAAUUCUGCAACUUGUCCUUGUGCUGUAGCCAUGUCAGAAAUGUUCAGUGUUGUAAAGCUUUUUAAACACUCUGAAGAUUCCUCUGGAAGCUGCCUGACUUUAAGCUUGCUUAUUGCUUGGUUAGAAACUUAGAUUGCUGCCAAGUCUGGAAAAGUUUGAGACUACUAAAACU